rnacentral:lncRNA from 1 species
ACUUGGGUGGUGGUGACUGCCGUUUGAUUUGCCAUAAAGCUAGAAAUGGAUUUGAGGAUCUGAGCAAUAGAUUUUUUGCUUGAGGAGGCAUCAUUAUAAUUGAGUAAGAGGAGGGAUGUGAAGAGUUAGACGCCAAUUUGUCUGGAGGAGUAAUUAAGUAGCUUUAAUUCGUCAUUAUAGCCGUCACAGGCGUUAUACAGAGGAGAUAGGAAGACAAUGAGUUCUGAAAGGUUUUCUGUAGACGUCGUAACAAAAUUAAGUUGGAGUAAGAAGAUGAUAAAACAAAUGGGUCAUUAAAGCUAAAGGGCAUGUUACGCAUCACAGAUUCGUGGUCCAACAACUUAACAUCCAUGAUGACAUGGACAAAUGAUUGGUUGAGAAUUU